rnacentral:rRNA from 1 species
UACGUAGGGCGCGAGCGUUGUCCGGAAUUAUUGGGCGUAAAGAGCUCGUAGGCGGCCUGUUGCGUCCGCUGUGAAAUCCCAGGGCUCAACUCUGGGCGUGCGGUCGAUACGGGCAUCACUUGAGUUCGGCAGGGGAGACUGGAAUUCCUGGUGUAGCGGUGAAAUGCGCAGAUAUCAGGAGGAACACCGGUGGCGAAAGCGGCUCACUGGACCACAACUGACGCUGAUGCACGAAAGCUAGGGGGAGCAAACAGG